rnacentral:rRNA from 1 species
UGCCGGUGGACAAACCGGAGGAAGGUGGGGAUGACGUCAAGUCAUCAUGGCCCUUACGGCCUGGGCGUACACACGUGCUACAAUGGUCGGUACAAAGGGUUGCCAAGCCGCGAGGUGGAGCUAAUCCCAUAAAACCGAUCGUAGUCCGGAUCGCAGUCUGCAACUCGACUGCGUGAAGUCGGAAUCGCUAGUAAUCGUGAAUCAGAAUGUCACGGUGAAUACGUUCCCGGGCCUU